UACAGAGGGUGCAAGCGUUGUUCGGAAUUAUUGGGCGUAAAGGGCGCGUAGGCGGCCACGUAAGUCGAAUGUGAAAGCCCAGGGCUCAACCUUGGAAGUGCAUCCGAAACUGUGUGGCUCGAAUCUCGGAGAGGGUGGUGGAAUUCCCAGUGUAGAGGUGAAAUUCGUAGAUAUUGGGAGGAACACCGGUGGCGAAGGCGACCGCCUGGACGAAGAUUGACGCUGAGGCGCGAGAGCGUGGGGAGCAAACAGG
rnacentral:rRNA from 1 species